UCGAGCUCUCUCGCCCCCCGACCCGAAUUCUAAAACCCUUGCGCGGUUACGCCCCCUGUUCUCCUUUCCUCGAGUCCUUCUGCCCCCCGCCUCCCAACUCCCCCAUCCAGGGCUUCUCCAAUAUCUCUCGCCUGGUCUCUAGGGUUUUUAGGCGGUCGAGGGGGGGCCUUGGGUGAUGGGGGAGAUGGAGCCGUCGUCGUCGGCGCCGUCGCGGGCGGCGGAGCAGGGGAAGCUCUUCGUCGGUGGGAUCUCGUCGGAGACGAGGGAGGAGGCUCUUGCGGAGCACUUUAGGAAGUACGGGGAGGUAAAGGAGGUGGUGGUCAUGAGGGACAGGACCACGGGUAACUGCCGGGGUUUCGGGUUCGUCCAAUUUUUGGAUCCGGAGGCGGCGGAGAGGGUUCUUCAGGAAAAGGAGAAGCACGCCAUUCUUGGGAGAACGGUAGAGGUGAAGAAAGCCAUGCCCAGAUCUAAACAACAUCACCAAUCCCCCCACCACCAAUACGCAACUCAGAGCCCCUAUCAUAGUAGAGGGUCGAGCAGGAACAGUGCCAACAAUAACAGUAGCAACGGGAAUCACCCUCAAUCGAAGAAGAUUUUUGUAGGUGGUUUGUCUGAUAAUAUCACAGAAGAUGAUUUCAAGAAUUACUUUCAGAACUUUGGUGUGAUAACAGAUGUGGUUGUGAUGUAUGAUAGUGUAACCCACCGGCCAAGAGGCUUUGGCUUCAUCACCUUUGAUUCCGAGGAGGCUGUGGAAAAUGUAAUGCAGAAAAGUUUCCAUGAGUUGAAUGGUAAAUAUGUGGAGGUCAAGAUAGCAGUGCCAAAGGAUGGGAAUAAUCAUAGCAAUAACAGCAAUCGUGAUAAUAAUAAUUAUAACUCACGAAUGAUGGGUGGAAGAGGACCUGUACUUAGUAAUCACCCAGGUGGGAUUUACUCACCUUACACUCCUAGGUAUGGGUUUUUUCAUGGUUAUGCACCACCACCUUUUUAUGCUUAUGGUGGUAGUUAUCAUGGAGGAUAUACUAUUGGAAGCUAUGGUGGGAUUGGUUAUGGAGGUCCAAUUCCAGUCCCAAGGGGCUUUUGGAAUGUUCAGGGAUUGAUGGCCUCAAGGCACAGUCUGGUGCCCAAUACUGCUAUGUAUCCUGGUUACAUCAAUGGAAGCUUUGGUGGCAGUUUUCGUGGGGUUGCUGCUUUCGAUAAUGGCAAGGGGAAUCAAAUCAGCUCUGAUGUGCAAACACCAGUUGUUCCUAGUACGGCACCAUCUCAAGUUGAAUCUGUGAAGUUGGAAGCUGAGUAACAUCUUGGAUGUUACCUUUCCUCGUGCGCUCAACAUGGGUGUUCUUGCAUUGUAGCUGGGAUGGCACCCUGGUGCUUCCUCACCAUGAUCAUCAGGAGCACCUUUUCCUCAGCCCAUGUCUAGCUGAUAUUUUCUUCAGCUAGCAGCCUAAUUUCAUUAAGAUGGGGGUCUCUCUUAAGUUUCUUCAACACUUGGAAUCACUUGCAAGAUGGAUGCUGGCAGCAGUAACUGCAGCUUAUGGGUUAAUGUAACUUUGUGUUAGAAUCCAAUGAGGUAUUGAGCUGUCCAUUAAAGAUCCUGAGAAAAAGAAAGACUGGGUGUUUGAAUAAACCUCAGCCCAAUGCUUCUUGAAAGCAUCAAAUUUCCUCAGCCCAAUGCUUCUUGAACAUGAUGUGGGAAGGGCAACAAGCGUGGGAGUCAAGGAGAACUGCAAACUUGCGAGCUGAUGCGUCUAUCUGCCAUAUGUUACCACUUGAGAUUAAUUUCUUGUGCCUUUAAGUUAGCCAUCAGAAUCUAGCUUCCCCUCACAUACGUGGUGGGUGUGGUGAGCUUGCUUUGCUGAGUUAUGGAGGAUGUGAUUUGAGAAUAAAAGUAACAAGUUUACUGGGAUGCAUGCUUGGGAUGAAGAGGGAAUGACCACUCCAAGAUUGGGAAUGGUUGUAGGUGCGGAUGGUGAGACUGUCGAUGCAGCUAAUGAUCACCCCCCUUAUUGUUGGUGGGUGAACAAGAGAGGCCAGGGCCUUUUAAUAAAGGAGUGUAAUUGACAUUGCUUA